GUGAACGCUGGCGGUAGGCCUCACCCCUGCCCGUCGAACGGCAGCACAGUAAGAGCUUGCUCUUACGGGUGGCGAGUGGCGGACGGGUGAGGAAUACAUCGGAAUCUACUUUUUCGUGGGGGAUAACGUAGGGAAACUUACGCUAAUACCGCAUACGACCUACGGGUGAAAGCAGGGGAUCUUCGGACCUUGCGCGAUUGAAUGAGCCGAUGUCGGAUUAGCUAGUUGGCGGGGUAAAGGCCCACCAAGGCGACGAUCCGUAGCUGGUCUGAGAGGAUGAUCAGCCACACUGGAACUGAGACACGGUCCAGACUCCUACGGGAGGCAGCAGUGGGGAAUAUUGGACAAUGGGCGCAAGCCUGAUCCAGCCAUACCGCGUGGGUGAAGAAGGCCUUCGGGUUGUAAAGCCCUUUUGUUGGGAAAGAAAAGCAGCAGGUUAAUACCCCGCUGCUCUGACGGUACCCAAAGAAUAAGCACCGGCUAACUUCGUG
rnacentral:rRNA from 1 species